UGUCCAGUAGCACAUUAGAGACCAACUAAGUUUGUUCUGGGUAUAAACUUCUGUGUGCAUUCAGGACAAACUUAGUUGGUCUCUAGGGUGCUACUGGACA